UACGGAGGGUGCGAGCGUUGUCCGGAGUUACUGGGCGUAAAGCGCGCGCAGGCGGCGGUGUUGGCCCGGCGUGAAAGCCCCCGGCUCAACCGGGGAGAGUCGUCGGGGACCGCACCGCUUGAGGGCGGUAGGGGCUGGUGGAAUGCCUGGUGUAGUGGUGAAAUGCGUAGAGAUCAGGCAGAACACCUGGGGCGAAGGCGGCCAGCUGGGCCGUCCCUGACGCUGAGGCGCGAAGGCGUGGGGAGCGAACGGG
rnacentral:rRNA from 1 species